UCACUGUUCACAUUACUAUCACGACCUCACAGGUCCACAAUGGUUAUGGACAGUUCCUGAUUCUUCCACAUUUUACCGACUUACUCCCCAUCCCAUUCAUAGACCCACCAAGUUAUAGAAGGCUUUGAAUGCUUUGAUCAUCAUCCGAUGGUGAAGGGGAAGAGAGGAAGUUGGAUCUAUUGUGAGAACUUCCUAGAGAUUCAAACCCAGUCAGCCUCAAACGGUCCUAUUUAUUGUGUAUUUAAUGAAUAAUGACUAUUUUAAGCUUCAGAAUUUCUUACAUAUGGACAAAAUCCCAGGUAUUUAAUGAAGAAUUUUGUGAAAUAGAGAACCGCCAUUAGAAAAGAUCCAAAAUUCUUGCAGAAACAUUGUCCAGGCCUCGGGAGGUGGUGGUACAGAUCCAUUUCAUUUGUUUAAUCUAAUUGUUUUUCUUCAUAGGUCUCCUCUGAGUAUAUUCUAUUUAAAAACAGAUCAAAUAGCUUUCGCUUUUGAUUUUAAAAUGAACUACGUUCAUAUUUCUUUUUCAAUGAUUUCUUUUAGAACCAGAAAAGGGUCUUGAAAAAAGCUCCCUGAUUUGAAAGGGGGUUUUCUAGGGUUUUGGCCAAAACUAAUAUUCCCACUUUCCCAUCUCUUUCUCACUCUAUUUAAAAUCCGCUGUGAAGAUAUCCAGGUGGGAAAUCAUGGUUUCUUCUUUAGAACAGCUGAAGACCUAAACCCUUUUUUAUAAUUUCAUUUGUCUGAUCUAUUGAUGUUUUAGAGUUUGAAAGCUUAAACUCUGUAGUCUUGAAGAUGGGAAUAUGGGAUAAAGGGUUUUGUUUUACAGUCACUUUACUUCUGCAUUUUCCUAUCCCUACCCUCUCUGUUUAAGGAAUUAGGAACUGUUUAAGGAAUUAGGAAAGGGUGUGUCUUAGGAGUGGUGGUAAGGGUAAAUAGAAUUAGAAGUUGCAGUUUUGAAGUUUCCAUCAUCUCCUGCGGAAUUUUCAUCCAUCAGUUUCUGAUUUUUCCUUCAAACCCCAAAAGUUUAACUCUAAUCAAGGUUUUCUCUUUUCUGUUUUUCUUUUUUUUUUUCUUUCAGAUUUAAACCCACUUCUAAGAAUUUCUUUUCCUGUGAAAUUCCCUUUUCUCUCUUUCUCUCUCUCUCUUGAUCUUAAGCUUUUGUGGGUUUCCAUUUAAAAAAAAAAAAAAAAAAAAGAAGACAAGUGGGUUUGCUUUCUGUUCUUUAGUGAAGAUGUCAAUGCCAAUAGGACCCCAACAGCAGCAAACACCAUCGGUGGCUACAAAUCAAGAAGCUUACAGUACCCACUCGAGUCACGGAUCAAUAGGUCCUGUUAUUGCUGUCCUGGCUGUGAUCACAAUCUUGGGCGUAGUUGCAGGUAUGAUUGGGCGUCUCUGUUCUGGAAGGAGAGUUUUGGGCCAUGGUCAAUAUGAUUUAGAAGGUUGGGUAGAAGUCAAAUGUGCUUCUUGUGUCGACGGAAGGAUUGAUCCACCGCCACCGCGACCACCACCACCGCCACCCGGCGACUCUGUUCCAGUUGCAAUCCCGAUCGAAACCCCUCAGGAAACGAAACAGACAGAGCAAUCUGCAGGGAAUCCACCUGCCGCUGCUGAUUCUUGACAUGGGUCUCUCCAGUCUACCAUCCACCAUGAUUAUGAACAUCAUCGCCAAUUCUUUUAGAAUUGGUUGCCAAGAAAAGGAAGAAAAGGAAAAAAGAGAAAAAGAACUCUACCGGUUUGGCGUUGGAAACAUUGGAUGCUCUGGCCAAUGACAACACAAGCGAGAGUACCUUUAGCACACAUGGGGCAGCAUGGUCUUUUUUUGCCCACAUGUGUCAGGUAUUGUGCACGGUUAGGAUUCUUCUUCUCAAAGAAAAUGGGAAAAAGGCUGGUUAUGCCUUAUAUCUAAAUCUGUGUCUAUCUCUCUUCUCUUCCUUUUGGAAAAGUCUCAUUUUCUAUCAUUGGUUGAAUUGUUAGUUUUACAAAAGUUGAUGGCAUACCUAAUCUCAUAUAGUUUUAGGGCAAGUGUUCUAGGUCCAUGAUAGGCCUUUGUAUCCAUACACAGGGGUGUGGAACCCUAGACAAGAGCACGGUGGUCAUUGCAUACCUGUGUCUGUGGCAUAAGUGCCUCUAACAGACGGAAAUUUGUUCCAUAGUUUUUACAUUAAUUGUUGUUUAUUCUUCUUUUUUGGUUGUUGCUUGAUAUCAAGGGUUGAUUUCAGUGUCCAAUUGUGUAUUGUAUUUUAAACUACGUAUUGUAAAGAUUCUGUUUUUUAAACUUAA